AUAUAUCAACCUUCUCUUGUUGAGUGGUUUGGAUGUGGGGGUUUGCUGGCCUCUUUAAAGGUUUUUAGCUCUCCUGAAAUACAUUAGCAGAACAACCCUGUUCAUUGGUGUGAUAAACUAUCUACGCUAUUGAAUGUGAAAAGGGGCAGUUCGGCUUUCUAACAGUCCUUGGACAGCUCAUCAUUA
rnacentral:misc_RNA from 1 species